CGAUCAAAUCAUGUUGAAACACUGGUUCUCAUUUGAUCACCAAAGUUAAGCAGUGUUGAGCCUGGUCAUUACUUAGAUGGGGGUCUACUUGGGUAUACUGCAUAUUGUAA